rnacentral:rRNA from 1 species
AAAGUUUUUUGGAGUAGUUCUCUUGACAAGAAUGGGAUGCAUUGGGUGUCAUGGAAGAAUUUAGCAACACCGAAAUGCAAAGGAGGUAUGGGCUUUCGAGAACCUCAUCAUUUUAACCUUGCGCUGCUUUGAAAACACGGAUGGAGGUUCCUAACCAACCCGAGUUCUCUCGGUGCAAGGGUUUUAAAAGGCCGCUACUUCCCUGACACAGAUUUUAUGCAUGCAACAGUCCCUAAGUCUGCUUCUGCAACUUGGAGGGCGAUCAUAGCUGGCAGGGAAGCUCUGAAGGCGGGUUUGAUCAAAAGAGUGGGAGAUGGAUCUUCCAUUGAUGCGUGUACAGAUAAGUGGAUUCCGGGCACAAUUUCUAUGUCCCCCAUGGUGAAUCCAGCGUCUGCUACAGUCCACAUGGUGUCAGACCUCAUUGACACGGAUAACUGGUCCUGGUGA